rnacentral:lncRNA from 1 species
AUUCUACCACCCAAGCGUCAGAGACUCCCUGGACUCAUUGAAACCUGAGGAUAUGUGCCUGGAUGGGAAGAAAGGCUCCUUACAUGACACAAAUGCUUUGCCUCUUCAAUCAAGACUAUACCAGAAACCCUAAGAAUCUCCUAACAGCCUGGACAAGCACCUCGGCUCCUCCCACCCUCAGGAGGAAUCUCAGCAGCUGGUUCUAGCUAGGGCCAGCAGAGCUCUGCCUGUUCUCAGCUGUCAGCUGGGCAGUGAACAACUGACCCAGACCUGCCCAGGCCUGGCCAGUAUGGGUGGAAUCUUCAUGGUCAGAAACUGGGAGGGAGUAGUAUCAUGUAGCUGUUAGGAAUUUGGGAGACCUGAAUUCAACUCUG